UGGGAAUUUGGACAAUGGGCGAAAGCCUGAUCCAGCAAUGCCGCGUGUGUGAAGAAGGCCUUCGGGUUGUAAAGCACUUUUGUCCGGAAAGAAAUCCUUGGCUCUAAUACAGUCGGGGGAUGACGGUACCGGAAGAAUAAGCACCGGCUAACUACGUGCCAGCAGCCGCGGUAAUACGUAGGGUGCAAGCGUUAAUCGGAAUUACUGGGCGUAAAGCGUGCGCAGGCGGUUUGCUAAGACCGAUGUGAAAUCCCCGGGCUCAACCUGGGAACUGCAUUGGUGACUGGCAGGCUAGAGUAUGGCAGAGGGGGGUAGAAUUCCACGUGUAGCAGUGAAAUGCGUAGAGAUGUGGAGGAAUACCGAUGGCGAAGGCAGCCCCCUGGGCCAAUACUGACGCUCAUGCACGAAAGCGUGGGGAGCAAACAGGAUUAGAUACCCUGGUAGUCCACGCCCUAAACGAUGUCAACUAGUUGUUGGGGAUUCAUUCCUUAGUAACGUAGCUAACGCGUGAAGUUGACCGCCUGGGGAGUACGGUCGCAAGAUUAAAACUUAAAUGAAUUGACGGGGUCAUAGCUGUUUCCU
rnacentral:rRNA from 1 species